rnacentral:tRNA from 1 species
GCUAUUUUGGCAGAAAAGUGCUGUAGAUUUAGAUUCUAUAAAUAUAGUUUAAACUAUAAAUGGUA